UACGUAGGGUGCAAGCGUUGUCCGGAAUUAUUGGGCGUAAAGAGCUCGUAGGCGGUUUGUCGCGUCUGCUGUGAAAACGCGAGGCUCAACCUCGCGCCUGCAGUGGGUACGGGCAGACGUGGAGUGCGGUAGGGGAGAUUGGAAUUCCUGGUGUAGCGGUGGAAUGCGCAGAUAUCAGGAGGAACACCGAUGGCGAAGGCAGAUCUCUGGGCCGUAACUGACGCUGAGGAGCGAAAGCGUGGGGAGCGAACAGG
rnacentral:rRNA from 1 species